rnacentral:rRNA from 1 species
GAAGUGGUGACGCCAGUUGCCAUGGAGCCGCUGUUGGGAUACCACCCUUGCAGUAUUGGAUUUCUAACCAGAGGCCGUAAGCCGGCCUGGGGACAAUGUCAGGUGGGGAGUUUGACUGGGGCGGUCGCCUCCGAAAGGGUAUCGGAGGCGCUCAAAGGUUCCCUCAGAAUGGACGGAAACCAUUCGGAGAGCGCAAAGGCAGAAGGGAGCUUGACUGCGACACCGACGGGUGGGGCAGGUACGAAAGUAGGACUUAGUGAUCCGGUGGUAUAAAGUGGGAUUGCCAUCGCUCAACGGAUAAAAGCUACCCUGGGGAUAACAGGCUUAUCACUCCCAAGAGUUCACAUCGACGGAGUGGUUUGGCACCUCGAUGUCGGCUCAUCGCAUCCUGGGGCUGAAGUAGGUCCCAAGGGUUGGGCUGUUCGCCCAUUAAAGCGGUACGCGAGCUGGGUUCAGAACGUCGUGAGACAGUUCGGUCC